GCGCACAGCCCCUGGGGCCUGGCUCCGAAGCUGCCGCUCCCGACCCCGGCUGCGCGGCACGGGGGCUCCGGAAGCCCGAGUCCCUGGUUCGCCCCCGGAGCGGUUACUUCAGCGAGCUCGUUGCGCGAGCGUUUUGCAAGAAGGGGGCCCAAAAAAGUUGAAAGCCGAGGGUCAGGGAAUGUAAAAGGCAUUGCCCGAGCUGCAAAUGGUGUUCGAUGCUAAGCAGAUGCCAAAUUUCGGUGGAAAAAGUACCACCUCACUCCUCGGCCUUGACAGAUGGCUAAUUUUAAAACUAGCUCAAUCUACUUAGUCCGAAGAAUCCAUUUAAUUUCUCACCAUUCGCUGAGUAUGAAUUUGGUUUAAAAGAAGAAGAAGAAGAAAAAAAAAGCUAGGCCUUUGGGAAGGGCCACAGGAUUGGUACCUGUAAUUCAAGCCAGGAGAGCCUUUGAUAGCCUUAGGAUGGAAGGCUGAGCCUGUCCUCUGCGACACACACCCACCGCGCCCUACCCCUCACCCCCGGGAUUGGGCUUCUGCCAUCUUGCACUGUUUUUUUUUUUUUUUUGAGACGGAGUCUCGCUCUGUCGCCCAGGCCGGACUGCGGACUGCAGUGGCGCAAUCUCGGCUCACUGCAAGCUCCGCUUCCCGGGUUCACGCCAUUCUCCUGCCUCAGCCUCCCGAGUAGCUGGGACUACAGGCGCCCGCCACCGCGCCCGGCUAAUUUUUUGUAUUUUUAGUAGAGACGGUGUUUUACCUUGUUAGCCAGGAUGGUCUCGAUCUCCUGACCUCAUGAUCCACCCGCCUCGGCCUCCCAAAGUGCUGGGAUUACAGGCGUGAGCCACCGCGCCCGGCCCAUCUUGCACUGUUAAGCCUCACAUCCGUUCUCUGGUUCUUACCCCUGACUACAAGGGAGUGCCCCAAAGCAGGGAUCUUGUCUUAGCCUUGGGCCUGCUACACAGAAGUAGCAGAGUGGCUGUCAAAAUACAGCACCUCAUUAACUCUCAAAUAUUUACUAAGCACUAUGUGCCCUGGAGAUUGAGUAAUGCCAAGGCCCCUGCUCUCAUGAAGCUUACCUUCUAGGACAGAACUAGACAACUCACAAAUACAUAAAGUGGAGUAAAUAUAAAGUAAGAAAGUGAAGGAGUCGCUAUAGUAUAAAGAAUCUGCAGAGAAGGCUUUGCUGACAAGGUGACAUCUUGAGAAAAGAAUGACAAGAGUAAGUCACCCAGAUAAUCCUGUUGUCUAUGGCAUCUUGGGCCCUCAGCUGCCUCACAUGAAAGCAAAAGAUAAGGACACCAACCCCAGGACCUGGCUGUUAUGUUGAGUUCACUGAUGAUGGAAGAGAAAGUGCUUUGUGCACAGGAAAGCCAUUAGAAAAGUGUGAGAUGUUCACCUCCCUCUAUUGGCUGUACUGAACCUGCACUGUGCCUCCAGCGAGAUGCUCAUCAAUGUCCUCUAAGAGGCCAUGCUUCAGCUAACAAGGGUUCCAGCUAAUUAAAGGGAAAUUUUGUAAGGGGAAUGUCCAUAAAUAAAUAUUCUUCCCUGGCAAAGGGAAGUUGAGAAGUCAACUUCAAAACACAUUCUUUAAAAAAUUAGUAAAUAAAUAAACAGGCACCCACUUUGUCCUCAUUAGCACUUUAAAAGCUUGGUUUGGGACACACCAAGUUUGAAGUUCAGAGGAGACAGCCAGAUGAUGAUAGCAGACAGCUGAAGAUCCAUACCUGGAGGUCACUUGCUCAUGUGCCAUAGUUGACAGAACAUGGUCUUUUGAAGUAUGAGCUACCCAGGAGAAAAUCCUACCAUCCUUCCCCACAUACUAACCAAGUCACUCUGCAUCUGGAAAAUUCUGUGACUUGGAACAAAUAUGGCCCAUGCUAGUUGAGCUAAUUAAGCUCUCUGAGACUCAGUUACCCCAUGGAGCACUGACAACACACGGCACUUAGGCUUCACUCCAAGAAGGCCUUCCUUCCUCUAGGCUGGAAACAAUUUCAGACUUGGAUUCUUGCAUUUAUUUUGUUCUCCCAUCUAUUCCAGGUAGUCGUCUAGCACCUGUCACCUCCACUGAGGUGGUGGUUCCUUCCAUCUUCUUCAUCUGGCAUUAUAGUAAAGACUCAAUAAAUAUGAGCUGUUAUUAAAAGCCAAAAGUCAGUGUUUAAUUGCCUCAAUUCCAAGAGGCCCUGGGUUCCAGAGUUUUCCCUCCUAGUAACUGAUGCUGUCAUCUUGGGCCUUAGUGCUAUCCUUUGUAAAAUAAAGGAGUGAGUGUGUCAAAAUGACCACAGAUUCCUCCCAGCAGGAGCCGACUUGUGUAUACAGUCAGCUCUGGAGAUGCAAAGAAGAAAGAUUAUUACAACAAGCUAAGCUAACUGCAAUGGUAGACAGCUGGGGAUUUCUUUCUUGACUGAAUUCACCAAAGACUCCAAACUGCUGCCAUCAAUUGCUGUUUCAGUUUCAUUUGAAGAUUAUGUUAUGUAUCUGCUCCUCCCCCAUCUCCUUUGGCCAAGAAAGGAAUAUGCUCACAAUGAGAUAUUGUGCUUUGGUAAGUAUAUACCUCCUCAGACUGGUCUGCAAUUACAAUUUCAAAGGUUCACACCUCUACUCACCAUUUCUGGGCCAUAAUCCUCUUUAAAUUUGAAACCAUGCCUCAGUGAAAACCAUCUGCACCUCUCAUUUUCUCAAAUACUCUGAAAAUCAUUCCUGGAUAUCUGAAAGCAAAUAGAGACUGACAUGGGCAAAACGUAAAUGCUGGAUUUCUUUGUGUGGAGCUGCCCCGAAAUAUACACCAUCCUCCCCAAAGCCAGGAAAAAUGUGCGCACACACAUAUUUGUGUGCACCUGGCUUUAUAUAAAGCAAGCAUCAUCUCUGUUGUCGCCAUUAUAAUAAGACUGUUCAGCACUCUUGUCCUCCUCAUGCCUGCCUCUUACUCUGAGCACUGCUGACUGAGGUUUCUAACACCAUGAUUAUGGCAGGAUGCACUUUGUCGCCUUGAAAAAAAGGCAGCAGGAACAGUGGUGGCUUAUUCUUCUGAACAGCAAUGGCGCUAACGACCCACUUGCCAUCAGGGAAUUGGCUCUCAGUUACAUUUCCAGUUGCAGACCUCACUCUCAUCCAUCUGUCUUAUAACCAAGGGGGGAUGCAUUUGCAAGAUGACUGACCAGAAACCAGAGGUGGGGGAGUGUGGGUGGGGAGUCAGAGGUGCUCUGUGGGCCCAAGAAACCACAAGGAGCUUUGAUCCACAGUGUUAGCCAGCGACAGCAUUCAUCACAGGCUCCCGAUGCCCUCAUGGAAUGACGACAAUGGCUAAAGUGGGAAGGGAACACACUUUUUAUUACAUGGACCUGAGCUUAAAACUCUACUUUCUUGUUUAUUCACCUUCUUUUCUAAACUAUGUUUCAGAUUAUUGUGUGAAAUAAAAUGAGAAAAUAUGGA